rnacentral:rRNA from 1 species
AUAUUGCACAAUGGGCGCAAGCCUGAUGCAGCCAUGCCGCGUGUGUGAAGAAGGCCUUCGGGUUGUAAAGCACUUUCAGCGGGGAGGAAGGCGGUGAGGUUAAUAACCUCACCGAUUGACGUUACCCGCAGAAGAAGCACCGGCUAACUCCGUGCCAGCAGCCGCGGUAAUACGGAGGGUGCAAGCGUUAAUCGGAAUUACUGGGCGUAAAGCGCACGCAGGC